ensembl:lncRNA
GUGAGUCUAAGUCAGGGGGCAGAGUGAUCACAUCACCGUGAGUGCCCAGGAGGGGCAGGUCUACAAGGUUCUGCAGAGACACAUCUGGAGAAAUGGCUGGAGGAUAUGACCUUUGAGUACAACAGCCCCGUCGGUUUGACCCUGAAGUGCCACAGUGCUCCCCGUCCGUCUGCAAAGUCGGCCCUUUCGUAGAUCCUGCUCAAAGGUCACUUUCUCCGGAGAAAGCUUCCCAGGCGCACCAGGCUCGAUGACUUGGAAUUGUAACGGCGCAAUAUCAGUCUCCAUACCGUAGAACCUUUCAAGACAGAGCAAGUCACAUGGUCCUGCACAACUUUAAAUAGGAGGGAGAAUUGCAAACGCAAGCCUACCCUGUGCCCAAAAGGAGGGGGACCAGAACGUCUGUGAAUGUCCCUAGGACUAUCAGAGGCCGAAAGCUGACGGCGCAGUCUGCUAAUACGCGGUCACCUUUGGCUACGAAGAACCUCCACUUCAAGGGCCUUCGAGCACAUGGGGCAGGAGGGCCGUGCCAAUUAACUUCUCGAGAAAAAUAGCGGUUUGAAAACUCGGAGGACCUUUCCACAUCCUUCUCCCUAACGGAGCUCUCAGAGGGACAGGUACAGAGGUGCCGGAGCAGGCCGCAAAACAACCUGGCAUUUCUUUAACCUCUGGGGGCGGAAAGGCGGGCCGUCUUGGACAGACUAAAUUUUGUCUGCUCAGUGAAAAGCAGAAACCAGCACCAAGGACAAGCAGAAGAAGGGGAGGGAAGGCAAAUGAGGUGUGUGUGCGUGUGCGUGUGCGUGUGUGCUUUUUCCCUCCCUUGUGUUCAUCCCUCCAGGGGAGGCGGUUUGGAGCCAGCUCUUUCUCCGGCCACUUUGACCUCUCCUCCUGCGUGGACGUCACAGGUGCUGUUUCCAACCAGUGACCGCGGGUCGUCUCUGCUUCUCCAGCUACCCGUCAGCAUUUUGGUAUCCGUACCAGUGCCGUGGGUGUAGAAUUAUGACCCGUCACAGAGGAGAGAAGCCUGAGCCAGCCCGAACAUGAGGCACUCUGUAGGACUGAGUUCGCAGCCGCCCCGCCCACCCCAGACCCCUAGUCCCAGAGUGCAGCAGACUCUUGGCUUCGACAGAGUCCCCCUGCCCGCAUCUCCUUAGAGUUGAGUGUUUCUACUCCGCUUCUGAUCUCAUCCGGGGAGACGCUUGCUUUGUGUCUGAGGGAGGCUAUGCCACACAUGCACGCGGAUACAUUUGAACACUUUUCCUAUCACUGCUCUAUAUUUCUCUCUUUGAUUCAGAGGUUGGUUUGAUGAGCCAAACACAGCCAGUGUCAUCUUGACUGGGUAUAUGAUUUCAUGCCAUUUUGAAAAUCCUCUCAUGGUAUUUUUUUUUUUUUGGUGAGAAAGAUUGUUGCUGAGGUAACAUCUGUGCCCAUCUUCCUCCGUUUUGUAUGUGGGACACCAUCUCAGCGUGGCUUGAUGAGUGGCGCAGUUCCACACCCAGGAUCUGAACUGGUAAACCCUGGGCUGCCAAAGCGGAGUGCAAGAACUUAACCACUAUGCCACCGGAUUGGCCCCCCCUCACAAUUUUUUAAUUGAAGUUUUUAUUGAGAUAAUUGUAGAUUCCCAUGCAGUCAUAAGAAAUAAUACAGAGAGAUUCUGGGCACACUCUAUCCAGUUUCUCCCAAUGAUAAGCAUUUUAUACAACUAUAGUAUAACGUUGCAACCAGGAUAUUGAAUCUCUCACAGUUUCUAAGAGAAUUAAAAAAAUUGUUCCUGGGGAAGUUGGAGGGGCAGGGUGCAUGCUCCCCUCCCUUGGGCUUUGCCAGCACGGUACUUGCAGGCCUGGAGUCAGGACCCUGGACACGAAUCAGACCCAGCUCUGUCCUUGCAGCUCCUGGGUGGCCUCCCUGGGACCCAGCUUCCUCACCAGUAAGAUGAGGUUUGGGUGAGAAGGUCUUCAGCAUUUCUUCCAUUUCUACCGCUUUAAGAUUUUAUACAUAGCCCGUGACAGCCCCUGGGGCCAGCCAGCCCCGGGCUUUGUGAGCUGGAUUUGCUCUCACUCUGAGGCUGUGGAAUCACGGAGUGGGACGGCUCCAUUUUGGACACCUUUUCUGUUAUCUUCCCAGCGUCCACACUGCAUUUCCUCAGUGACUCUUCCCAGCCCCCAGCCCCUGGAUUCAGUGGGACAGACCCCCAGCCUGGGCUCGAGGGCUGGGCAUAUGACUGGCUCACUAGGUCUAAUGAGACUUUCCAUUCCUUUUCUGGGUUGGCUCAGGUUUGGGGGCAUGACCCAAGCCAUCCACUGAGAAGCCAUCCAGGGACGUUUGUUAAAAUGACAGGGGCGCCAAGGGUUAGGAUGCAGACCGCGGCUUCAGGCAGUCACCUGGCCACCUCGCUGGAAGAGCUUGGUCCGCGUUGGGUUGAAACAGAGGAAAGCAGAGCUGACAGAUGAAAAGAGAGGGAGGUGGACAACCGGAGUCCAGAAAUGUCAACUGAUCGACGGAAGGUCACACAACUGUUCCCAGUGGCCCUUGGAGUAGGUGGAGCCUCACUGUAUCCACUAAACUCAGAUUCCAGAGAUCAUCUACAUAUAUAGAUACGAGUAUAUAAACCCUCCCACCCCCAAGGUGGCAUCACUUGAGCAACUUCUCAGAACUACAGAAAUUUCUAGUGCUGGCCAGGGUUGGGAAUCUCAGGCUUGGAAGCUGAGUGAGACUCUGGGGACUAUCAGGAAGUUAGAGGUUGGAGCCACUAAGGUAAGAAGAAGUGACCACGUUUCCACAAGUGCCUAAGCUGGGAGGACUGCCUGGAAGAGGAAUUAAAUAUGCUCAAUAUGGCUGUGAAAGUCACAAUAACAGUAACAGAUGGAAUUGUGGGACAUCGGCUGGAGCUUAUGCUGUUACCUCAGAGCUCUGGGGAGAGCCGCAGGCUCAGGACGGUGGGCACUCAGAACUCCCAGAGCCCCGAGGGCCGCGAAGUGGCCAGCAGACCAUUCCCCAGGGCCUCCUUAGGGGGCAGAAAUGCUCUGGCGUCUUCACCGGACGUCCCCCUCCCUGGUGCGAGGGGAGAGGUCUGAAUCUGUAGGAGCCGUGAGUCAUCAGCCUCUUGGGGGUGACGCUUCAUUUUCUCUUCCCUCUUCCGUGGGGACGUCACCCUGCAACCCAGCGAGGGGCACCAGGACGACUCCUAUAGAGAAAGGAGGCGAGCGUCUCCCGCUCUGGGGGACACUGUCUGAGCUGAAAGACCUGUGGGCCCUUCUGGGCUGCCAGGGGAAGGGGAAGCUCGGACGGCCCGGCGGGGAUCCGCCCCUCUGGGGGCGCGCAGCCGAGCAGGGGCAGCGCCGAGGCCCCGGGGGCCGGCGCGUCCUGCGUGUCCCCUGGGGGCCGGCGCGGCGCCCUCUCCGGUUCGCUGGGGGCCGCAGGGCCCGGCGCCGCGAGCUUUGACGGGGCCCAAAGGGUUUCCGCAGCCUCGGUGAGGGGAAGAGGGGGCCCCUCUCCCUGUUCAGCCCCCGAGGCGCUGGCGCGAAGAGGGGCGUGCGGCCGGGCCAGCGGCGCUACCCCGGCCCGUGCUCUGGCCACCCCUGCAGGCUGAGCAGCACGAGGGCGGUGCCAGCGCCGGGCCGCGCUCCCGCGGAGGAGCCCGCUUGGCAGGUGGCCGGGGAAGAGCUGUGACAAGGCGGGGACUGAGACAGCCACGGGAGGGGAGCCCGUCAAAGGCGCCCUACUUAGCGGGGUACUGCUGCGGGCCACGUGGCUCAGCCCCACCUCUGAGUUGUCCACUAAGGGUCAAGCUGGGUAUCCAUCCUGCGGCUCCCUCUGUCACCGACUGGGCGCUGCUCCCGGGUGUCCGCCCUCCCCCCUCAUCUGGUGGCUUCACCAGUGGGAGCAAAGUCCUGAUGCCAUGGGUGCUUGUAGGGGGUCCCUUGGUAUGUGCUGGAGGGAGGAGGGCCCAGGGCGGGGCACUGGCAGCCUGUGCCACCCGGCAGGAGGCUUACCUAGGAUAGAGAUUCACGUUUUGAAGUGAGUUGAGUUGGACUGAGCAAGACUGGAUUGUUUCAUCCCUAAAAGUGACCGGGAAGCUGUGGGGCCAGCUGGCAAGGAGGGUAAGGGACAGAAAAGGGAGAUUCAGGAGAGCGUAUGCGAAGGCAGGAACAGGAGAAGGUAAAGCUGCUUCAGGUCACUUGUCGAGUCUGGACUGCGAAAGGCUCUGACGCCCCUGCCGUGGGUGCCCACCAAGUGCUGCGAGGACGGCCAAGUGCUUGUGUCAUCUCGUCCACAGCCACCUCAUGAGGCCGCCUUGCGGUUCCUGCUGUCUCCCGGAUGGGUGGGCUGGGCUCGGGGAGGCUAAGUGACCUUCCCAGAGUCACUCAGCUGCUUGGUGGCCCAGACCCACGCUCUUCACCAUGUGGCAGAGACUCCUGGCUGCCUGUCUACUCUCCACUUCCUCUUUCUUCCUUCAUGGCAGAACUUUGGUUUUCUUUCAGGUGACAGUGUGUCUAGCGACAUAACCACAUUUUCCAGAGUCCUUUGCAGCCAGGGGUGGCCAGUGAGAUACAACCAGAGGCUUUUCGGUGGGACUUCCAAAGAAUCCCCUUGAGAAGCAGACGUACAGGUAGCACGUGCCUUUAUGCCCUUCACUAUUCUUUCUGCUUCUUCCCUGAACCACGGACGUGGUGUUGAGUUCUAGCAGCCAUCUGGGGCAACGAGAUACCUUUGAGAACGGGCACCGCGUACAAAGGACCAUGGAGAAGAAAGUCUGCAGAAGCCUGGGUCUCUGGCGACUUUGCCCUAAGCUGCCCACCUCGUCAGCCUGUACACGCCACGUACUUUCUGGUCUCUGUUACUAGCAGGUGAAGCAGGUUGUAACUGAUACAAUCACUGAGCUCCCGAAUUUUCACAGUAAGGAGCACUUGACACGUUCCAUGUCUGCAGGAAAUAUUGACUGAGGAAAUUCUCUUGGACCAGCCCCGAAUGGAAGGCACUGGGGAGAGGCCCUGAAGCAGCCCUCUUCCUUCUCUCAGAUGCCAGCACGGUCGCCUCAGCCCAGAGCCGCCCUCCCUCCUCAUAACUGUCAAAGCCCUGCCGCCUCGACCAUGGGUGUGACAUCGGCUCCCCCACCUUACCUGGGGACGCCUCGUGUUUCGCUGUGUGACUUUGAAAGGGCUGAAAUUCCUCAAGGACAGCGUCGUGUCUUGUAAAUUGUGUGCUCUACUCUGCAUGCCUACCUCAGGGAUUCUGGGCUAGGCAGGCAAGCCGUCAGAGAUUGUAUUGGCACAAGGAUGUGGAUGUCUCCUAUAGGAAGCGGUGGCCAGGCCUUUGGGGCUGAUAGGAAGAGGCCUGGGACUCUGAUACGGAGACUCCUGAAGUAGGAAGAGGGUCAAAAGCUCUGGUGGGAGGUCUCAAAGUGAGGAAACCAACUUUGAGCGAAAGAAACGGGCCACUUGGGGGAAUUGUUGACUGUUAGUAAGAAUAUUUUUGAGUACCCCAAGAUGAUGUUAUUCAUAUGAUGCUCCCCAUCUCUCUCUCCGUGUGUAUGAAGUUCUAAGAAUUUUGAGCAAGAAGUUGGUGUGUCAGUCAGAACUCUGUGCCUGAGACUGUAAGAUCCACACGUGUUCCUUUCAUUGGCAAAGUUAUGUGGAAGCAUAUAGCAAAGGGGAUUCUGGAAAAAUACAGCUUCCAGCCUUCGAAGGGAGUGAUGAUGGUGCCAAGUUGACUACAGGCAGGCCCGCCCAGGAAUGCAGACUUUUUAGACUGCCCAUCUUUCACUAUUUUGUGCGGUCUUUCACGGAAGAAUUACACGAGAACAUGAUUCUUGAUUCCAAGGAAUCUGAAAUAGUGCAGACCAAACUCAGGUCCACAAGCAUAACUGUGCCUUGAAAAAGCUGGAUGUGACAUGGCGAAUCCUCCCUAGGUGUGUGAACUAGAUUUGGGGUACUAGCGACAUGCAGGGGGUCGGUCCUGCACUCUUGCGUUAAGUAAAGGGGGCAUGGAUGAACAUAAACACCUUCACCCUUCGCGAUGGCCAUUAUCAUCUGGCUUGGCUAAGUGCCUCCAUGGAGGGGGUUGCUGAGAACUCAGAGUAGCCUUCUUUCUGGCUAUUUAUUUAUUAUUUAUUUCUGGCCCAUGAACACAGACCCACCUCCAUGAGGUGGCGGGUGACGCUCCGCUGAGCAUAGCCUUAUAUGAGUAGUGUGGGUAACUUGGUUCAUCCUGGCUUCUGGCAGUCAUGAUGAAUGAUAUCACUGAACUGGGUUUUCUGUGUUUUGGACAAAACAUAAAUAAAUCAAAACAUUAAUGACACAGGCAGUCUUGCUGCCAGACAGAUCUGCAAUUAGAAACCUUGAGAAAUUAGACUGGAAAAUAGCUUGAAGGCGG